rnacentral:sRNA from 1 species
UGAAAACAAAAGAGUUAGGAGAGAAAAAGGGGGAAAAAAAAAAAACGAGAUGGAGGAAUUCCAAUCUCCUAGAAUACGAUCUUACAAAUCGUAUGAAGGAGAUAGGAACCUCCAACUGGUUAAUCCUGCAGAUUUAAAACUGGUCAGAGGGAUAUAUGUUGUUAGAGAAUCGAGGCGCAAUCGAUCUCCGAUAAAAACAGAUAUAUGGCGCAAGAUGUCUUACAAAGACAUGCCCGUUAGACCGAGAAGAUCUUCUUCUCAUUCGACAUUGUUCAAAGGUAACUAAAAU